rnacentral:rRNA from 1 species
UCUGGUGGUAAUGGCGGAGGGGACACACGCGUACCCAUCCCGAACACGACCGUUAAGACCUCCAGCGCCGAUGAUACUUGGGGUGCAGACCCCUGGGAAAGUAGGACGCCGCCAGGC